CAUUUUUGAUGCCAAGGCUGGGAUCGCUCUGAAUGAUAACUUUGUCAAGCUCGUGUCUUGGUAUGACAAUGAAUGGGGUUACAGCUCCCGUGUUGUUGAUCUCAUCCGCCACAUUAGCAAGUCUUAAAUGGAGUUUGCCUCCAUCGCGAGUGCGGCUAUUAUAUCUGGUGUGUGUGGUUUGUUGAGGAAUAAAAUAACUCUUUUUAGCAAGACAGAUAAAUUUCUCUCAUUUUUGGGAGUGAGUUGGGGGUGUGAAAAAGUCCCCUUAGUUUUUGUUGAGAUGUGUUAGUGUUUUGUUUGCUGUAACUCUUGAUUAUCUUUGC
rnacentral:misc_RNA from 1 species